rnacentral:rRNA from 1 species
UACGUAGGGUCCGAGCGUUGUCCGGAAUUAUUGGGCGUAAAGGGCUCGUAGGCGGUUCGUCACGUCGGGAGUGAAAACUCGGAGCUUAACUCCGAGCCUGCUUCCGAUACGGGCAGACUAGAGGUAGGCAGGGGAGAGCGGAACUCCUGGUGUAGCGGUGGAAUGCGCAGAUAUCAGGAAGAACACCGGUGGCGAAGGCGGCUCUCUGGGCCUUACCUGACGCUGAGGAGCGAAAGCCAGGGGAGCGAACGGG